rnacentral:rRNA from 1 species
UACGUAGGGCGCGAGCGUUGUCCGGAAUUAUUGGGCGUAAAGAGCUCGUAGGCGGCCUGUUGCGUCUGCUGUGAAAUCCCGGGGCUUAACCCCGGGCGUGCAGUGGAUACGGGCAGGCUGGAGGCAGGCAGGGGAGAAUGGAAUUCCCGGUGUAGCGGUGAAAUGCGCAGAUAUCAGGAAGAACACCUAUGGCGAAGGCAACUCUCUGGGACGGUACUGACGCUGAGACGCGAAAGCGUGGGGAGCGAACAGG